AAGUCGUAACAAGGUUUCCGUAGGUGAACCUGCGGAAGGAUCAUUAUCGAGUUUGAAGUGGGUCUUUGAGCUGGCUUUUCACGAAGCACCGUGCUCGGGCCCCGCUCCAUCCACUCAACCCCUGUGCACUUUCGAUGGCGUGGUCUCGUUGAGUGAUGUUCCAUUCAUUUGGACAUCGGAGGCCGCAACGUCGUCUUAUCACAAACUUAUUACAAUAGUCUUGUCGAACGUGGAUGCUCGUAAGGGCGGAAACACAAUACAACUUUCAACAACGGAUCUCUUGGCUCUC
rnacentral:misc_RNA from 1 species